ACUCAGGAAACCUCUCCGGACAGAGCCCUUUUUGUCAACUGAGACCCUCCCAAGGCCUCUACUGCCCUCUGGGUCCAGCAGAGGGGGUGGAAGAGGGGCCACUCCCUCCCACCUAGAGCUUCUCCGAAUGACAAUCAGCUUGUGCCAGGAAGGAUCCAGGGCAGAGGAAACCACACCUCCCAGUGUCCCCACCCCCAGCUGCAGCCUCUUCCCCCUCGAGCACCCAUCCCUUCCACCAAGCCCUCCUGGUCCUGAACCCCUUCCCUGUAAAAGAGUGUCACACCACCACCUCCACCACCACCUCACCCUUCUAGCACUUCCUCAUCGCCACAGCCUGUGUCAUUGGCUCAGAUGCAGGUCUGCUCACCCCCAGAACAUGCCUCCCCUCCCAAGCCACACUGUGCACGAAGCGGGUGCAGGAGAAGGGUCGUGCCCCCGGUACAUGGGCUCCCCCUUUCCCAGCCCCUCACUGGGGCCUGGCUCAGUCUUCUCAACUCCGGGGAUCAGCCCUGGCGGGCAUGGAGUGGGGGGCAGGAAGAUGCCCUCCCCCUCCCCCAGGGAAGCCACUGAAGAAUGUUUACACGCCAAACAGAAUGUAACACCCUCCCCCACCUUUUCCCAGUCACUGCAUGGCCUCUGCCCAUACCCUGCCCCUGCCCACCCCCACCCUGACACCCUGGAAGCCACUGUCAUGAUUAGAUUGGGUCUUGGAAGGGAAGUAGCCAUCACACCAUUAAAAAGCCUGUGGACCUUU